UACGGAGGGUGCGAGCGUUAAUCGGAAUUACUGGGCGUAAAGCGUGCGUAGGCGGCGCGUUAAGUCAGGCGUGAAAGCCCCGGGCUCAACCUGGGAAUUGCGCUUGAUACUGGCGCGCUAGAGUUUGGUAGAGGGAAGCGGAAUUUCAGGUGUAGCGGUGAAAUGCGUAGAGAUCUGAAGGAACACCCGUGGCGAAGGCGGCUUCCUGGACCAAAACUGACGCUGAGGCACGAAAGCGUGGGUAGCAAACAGG
rnacentral:rRNA from 1 species